GUUCUCUUCAGCAGCACAUACGCUAAAACUGGAACAAUACAGAGAAGAUCAGCAUGGCCCCUGUACAAGGAUGACACACACAUUCGUGAAGUGUUCCACAUUUUA